UGGGGAAUAUUGCACAAUGGGCGCAAGCCUGAUGCAGCCAUGCCGCGUGUAUGAAGAAGGCCUUCGGGUUGUAAAGUACUUUCAGCAGGGAGGAAGGUGUUGAGGCUAAUAACCUCAGCAAUUGACGUUACCCGCAGAAGAAGCACCGGCUAACUCCGUGCCAGCAGCCGCGGUAAUACGGAGGGUGCAAGCGUUAAUCGGAAUUACUGGGCGUAAAGCGCACGCAGGCGGUCUGUCAAGUCGGAUGUGAAAUCCCCGGGCUCAACCUGGGAACUGCAUUCGAAACUGGCAGGCUAGAGUCUUGUAGAGGGGGGUAGAAUUCCAGGUGUAGCGGUGAAAUGCGUAGAGAUCUGGAGGAAUACCGGUGGCGAAGGCGGCCCCCUGGACAAAGACUGACGCUCAGGUGCGAAAGCGUGGGGAGCAAACA
rnacentral:rRNA from 1 species